GGGGCUCUGCUGCCGCGAGGCGGCUCCCCUUAAAUGCAUCGGUCGGGCCUACUGGGGCUCCGUCACCUGGGCGUUGUAUUACCCUCGCUCUGCCGACGUGCCACAGCUUUGCGUGCCCGACCCCGACCUGCCUCUGGAGCGGCGGUCAACACUCUUUGAGAUCUGACCUCAAAUCAGGUAGGACUACCCGCUGAACUUAA
rnacentral:misc_RNA from 1 species